AUGCUCCCUUCAGCAGCACAUAUACUAAAACUGGAAAAAUAUGGAGAAGAUUAACAUGGCCCCUGUGCAAGAAUGGCACACAAAUACGUAAAGUGUUCAUAUUAUGA